rnacentral:rRNA from 1 species
AUUGAACGCUGGCGGCAUGCUUUACACAUGCAAGUCGAACGGUAACAGGCCGCAAGGUGCUGACGAGUGGCGAACGGGUGAGUAAUGCAUCGGAACGUGCCCAGUCGUGGGGGAUAACGCAGCGAAAGCUGUGCUAAUACCGCAUACGAUCUAUGGAUGAAAGCGGGGGACCGUAAGGCCUCGCGCGAUUGGGCGGCCGAUGUCAGAUUAGCUAGUUGGUGGGGUAAAGGCCCACCAAGGCGACGAUCUGUAGCUGGUCUGAGAGGACGACCAGCCACACUGGGACUGAGACACGGCCCAGACUCCGACGGGAGGCAGCAGUGGGGGAUUUUGGACAAUGGGCGCAAGCCUGAUCCAGCAAUGCCGCGUGCAGGAAGAAGGCCUUCGGGUUGUAAACUGCUUUUGUACGGUACGAAACGGUCUGGGUUAAUACCCUGGGCUAAUGACGGUACCGUAAGAAUAAGCACCGGCUAACUACGUGCCAGCAGCCGCCGUAA